UUGUGAGCCUUGGGUCCUCACUCGGGUUUCGCAGCGGCAAAAAAGACGCCGCCUGCCUUGCGCGCUAAAAUUUGAAGAUGGAGAAUUGGAGCGAAGCAAAAAUCUCAUUCUCACUCAUCGUCCGUCGAAAAAACCCUUGCCCAUCUCACAAGCCCCGCAGCCUUCUCCGUCCUCGAAUGCCCUCCGGCGUUUCAGUGGCGGUCCCUUGUGCCUCCUGCCAUCAUGGGACGCACCAUUUCUAGGGUUUUGCUGUCGUUGGAUCUCUGUUUAACUCUGUACAUCUAAAAAUUACUUGGUUUUCUACCCCACAUUGCUCAUGCACAUGUCUGCUAAUGAGUAACUUCGAACGAUCCAGAAGUGUGAUUGGUAAGGAAUGUGCUUCCAGGGACAAUCCUCCUCAAGUUAACUGGGCGCAACAUGUUCUUGGUCUGGAGAACUUCUCAUCCCAAUAUAAAUUUUUAAGUGCAAAUUUUCUCUUCUCUCUACCCACGCAGAGGUUUUGUCUUGAAAUCAAUGACGGAGAAAUGCUGUUAAAAAGGCCGAUAAUUUACAACAUUCAAAAAACAGGAACGUUGCAAAGUUUACAGGUUGAGAAGGCCUGGAAAGCUCUUUUCAAUGGCCAUCUGAGAAACAAGAAUUACCUAAGGCCUGGAAUCACUGCUCCUGGUAAUAAUCCUAGGGGAAAUGCUGUUGUAACUGAGGGCAUAAGUUCAGCCAGCACUUUGAAGGAAUCUUUGAGUUUUCAAAGAGCUGGGCCGUCGGCCUACAGAAAUCAUUUAGCAUACCAAGGGGGUUCGAACCCGUCUUAUGAAUCAGAGGCUGGUAGCAGUGGUUCCUUAAAACACACUGAACCUUCAUCAAGGAUCAGCAUUGCUUUGAGUAACGUUAAUGUGGAGUCUACAGUGUUACGACAAAAUGUAAAAGGAACUUCAGUGCCUUCUGGUAACUCAACCCCUGAAAAUAGUGAGGCUUGGCAUGCUACGGAUGAUGAAAUUAUGGAGAAUAUUGAUGUAGAUCGGAUAGUCAUGGACCACUAUCAAGCUGUAGGUACACCUCAUGGAUCUGUAUCAAAAAAUAUGCAAUCCUCUCCAAAUUGCUGUGAAAAUAACGUUGCAGCUUUGAGUGGGCAUACCUUGCCCCAAGAACUGUGUGAACAAUGUAAACAUGGCUUUAAACUAGCACUUUGUCCAAAUGCUUCAAAUCAUCUGCAGGAGAUGAAGGACAGGUUGAUUACCAUAUCAAAUGAGCUUCUUGACAAUGCUGGUAAUCUAAGUUCUACGCAAUUUGAAGUCCUUCGCCAAGAAAGAUUGCUUCUGAAUAAGCAAAUCCAGCAGUUAGAGAAACACCUGCAAGAUGUAGGAAGACAAAGAUCACAUGCUAUGACCUCAACGGCUCCUGCUCGCAGUUUUCUAAUUGAUACCCCAAUAAGCAGAACUGCUGCUGAUGCUGUGAGAUUUGAUUCCCAGGUUCCUGGGCCAAAUGAAUUUGUUAACCAUGGAAAUUGGAGUUCUCCACUGCCAUCAUCAACUACAGACAGGCUACAUUCUUCAUUUGCUCCUGUGGAAAGGGAAGUAUUUACACCAAACCUUUUUGAAGUUAAGUACAUUGAAGGUUCUGGUGACAUAAGGUGGAAAAGUGUGGACUUUUCAUGGAACAAGAAACUUGAGGCCUACAACAGGAAAGUAUUUGGAAACCAUUCCUUCCGCCCUAAUCAAAGGGAGGUUAUUAAUGCAACAAUGAGUGGCUACGAUGUUUUCGUCCUAAUGCCAACUGGUGGUGGGAAGAGCCUAACCUACCAGCUUCCUGCCCUCAUAUGCCCAGGAUUAACAUUGGUGGUUUCACCUCUUCUUUCAUUGAUCCAGGACCAAAUAAUGCAUAUUCUGCAGGCAAAUAUUCCUGCUGCUUACCUCAGUGGCAAUAUGGAGUGGGCAGAGCAGCAAGAUAUCCUUAGAGAAUUACAAUCUGACACCUGUAAAUACAAGUUGCUAUACGUCACUCCAGAAAAAGUUGCAAGAUGAUGAAGUUAUUUCAAGAGUGAAGGAAGGAGAUUAGAGGAAGAAUUCACUUAAGGUAAGCAUUGCUUCGAUGGUUCAAUAGUGAAGGAAGGAGAUUAGAGAGAUUUUAAUAAUGAAGAUUGUCGCAAGUGUUGAAGGUUUGAAAGGAGUUGAAGCCAAAACAUUUAAAGUGG